rnacentral:rRNA from 1 species
CAGGGAUUGCCCUAGUAACGGCGAGUGAAGCGGCAACAGCUCAAAUUUGAAAUCUGGCGUCUUUGGCGUCCGAGUUGUAAUUUGCAGAGGGCGCUUUGGCAUUGGCAGCGGUCCAAGUUCCUUGGAACAGGACGUCACAGAGGGUGAGAAUCCCGUACGUGGUCGCUAGCCUUUACCGUGUAAAGCCCCUUCGACGAGUCGAGUUGUUUGGGAAUGCAGCUCUAAAUGGGAGGUAAAUUUCUUCUAAAGCUAAAUACUGGCCAGAGACCGAUAGCGCACAAGUAGAGUGAUCGAAAGAUGAAAAGCACUUUGGAAAGAGAGUUAAAAAGCACGUGAAAUUGUUGAAAGGGAAGCGCUUGCAGCCAGACUUGCCUGUAGUUGCUCAUCCGGGUUUUUACCCGGUGCACUCUUCUAUAGGCAGGCCAGCAUCAGUUUGGGCGGUUGGAUAAAGGUCUCUGUCAUGUACCUCUCUUCGGGGAGAACUUAUAGGGGAGACGACAUGCAACCAGCCUGGACUGAGGUCCGCGCAUCUGCUAGGAUGCUGGCGUAAUGGCUGUAAGCGGCCCGUCUUGAAACACGGACCAAGGAGUCUAACAUCUAUGCGAGUGUUUGGGUGUCAAGCCCGAGCGCGUAAUGAAAGUGAACGGAGGUGGGAACCCCUCGGGGUGCACCAUCGACCGAUCCUGAUGUCUUCGGAUGGAUUUGAGUAAGAGCAUAGCUGUUGGGACCCGAAAGAUGGUGAACUAUGCUUGAAUAGGGUGAAGCCAGAGGAAACUCUGGUGGAGGCUCGCAGCGGUUCUGACGUGCAAAUCGAUCGUCAAAUUUGGGCAUAGGGGCGAAAGACUAAUCGA